rnacentral:rRNA from 1 species
GACGUACCACCCGAACGUUAUUCGGAUUUACUGGGCUUAAAGGGUCCGUAGGCGGCCAAGUAAGUUGGAUGUGAAAUACCUCGGCCUAACCGAGGAACUGCAUUCAAAACUACUUGGCUUGAGAGAGACAGAGGUGAGCGGAACUGAUGGUGGAGCGGUGAAAUGCGUUGAUAUCAUCAGGAACACCGGUGGCGAAAGCGGCUCACUGGGUCUCUUCUGACGCUCAGGGACGAAGGCUAGGGGAGCGAACGGG